CUAUAAAUUGCUUCCCGUGUGACAUCACGGAGGUGCUGCUGGCGCUCCUCCAUUUCCCUUAGCAUGAGGUCUGAGGUUCUCCAGAUGGGCCCGAAAGCUGGUUCUCUUCUCUAAGGAGCAGCACAAUCCUCCAGAUGCUACACUUAGCCUGUGCCUUGAAUCCUGUUGGAGGCUAAAGGAGGGGCAGUCUCAGGUAAUGGGGCAGAGAUCCAGGCACCAUAGGUAGGUCUGAAGCUUCGCCUGCUUCCAAAUGGAUUCUCUGUGUUCAGGAUGCAUUGUUGAAAAAGGAACAUGAUGUAUGUAACAAUUAAAUACUCAACAGCCUCAUCAGAACAAGAUGCAAAGGCAAUUGCAGGACUUAGAAGAUGGUAGCCAUAGGUCCCUAGAGCACUUUGAAUAAGUUAUGGUACAAGAUUUCCAAAAACGUUCAGAUUUUCAAAAAUAUCUGUCCCUUGAGAGCUCCUGGAUUUUCAGACGAUCUCAGUACCCAGCCUGCUGAGCUGUCCUGAAAAUGUCUUCCUUUGCAAAACCUCUUUGAAAAUCUAGCAGGUCUCUUCUCAGAGAGUGUGAUAUUGUCUUAUGUCAACAGGUAACCUGCAAGAAGUGGCAGUGCAAAUUUUAUUUGAAGUCAAGCAUAAGAGGAAGUGGCAGGAAGAAUGUGGUUCAUGCAGUCCAAGACUUUACAGAUGUUGUUGCUGUUCUCUGCAUCUGGUUUGAGGCACCAGCUGAAGUCAAAAGCUGGUUGAAGCGGGAGCUGUUGGGCACCUCGGUGGGACACAUCACUGCUUGGAAGGCACUGGACAUGUACAGACCAGAAGAGGUUACAGUGGAGAACUAGAUUGCCUGAGAUGCUGCGUAAGAGCCUAAUAAAACUGAGAGGGGAACGGGCCUCCAAACUGCACCUUGACCUGUGUAUAUGGCAAUUCGUGUUUAUCUCUGGAAAAAUACAUGAUACUACUGGCAUGGAAGGUCCCACCCAUCUAAACCCCUACCAUAUUUUUGCCUUUGUAAAAUCCAUGUUCUAAAAAGCCCGUCACAAUCAAGCUGAAAAAAGAAAGCACAAACACUAGCAUGUAUAGUAGGUAGGACCAAGCUAAGCUUCACCAUCAGCAGUGAGAAUUCUGCCUGAUCAUCCAGGAGGAUUUUUUUCCUUUCUUCUAUAUGAUGAAAACUUCAAGGCUUCAACAGCUGUUGCUGUAAGAGUGUGUAGCUCUUUUUUUUUUUUUUUCUUUUCUCCCCAGUCUGUUCUUUUUUGUUUUGUAAUUUCUCUGAAAGACUUGAAAAAUGUCAAUUUUCCAUCAUUUCACAAAGGAGGAGACGAUGUGGCGGAUUCAGAUUCGGAUGCCAUGGUAGCCAUUGUCCCAGGAGGCUUGAAAACAUGAUUCUAAGAGAUGUAGGUUGACAAGUACAUUUUAAAUCUUACUGUGUCUUUUCCCUAUUAAUAAAUAAACAAACCAAAAUCUCGAGAGUAACACAGAUGAGAGAAUUGAAUUUAAGAAUACAAAGAUUUUUUUUCUUCUUUCCAGGACAGAGGCAAAACUACUGGCUAAUAAGUGCCCCAGCCACUGACAUUUCAGGUGACUUGGGUGAUUCUCUUUCAUUUUCUUCCUUUUUUCUUCUUAGCCCCUGUGUUCUUCAAAGACAAGGAUGCAUCUUUCUGUCUGGUUGCAGCCCAGCUUUAUGUUGGAACAAGCUCCAGAUUUCCACCUUUCCUUCUCCAGCACCUCACCCUGGUCUCACCUUCCCUAUGGGAAGAAAGUCCGGCUGCAUUGGCCACUGGACAGCAGUGGUGAUGACUGAGAGGUCCUUUGGUGUUAGCCAUAAGGAUGCAGGACUGGGAGUUUUAUUUAUUUUUUUUUCUCCCAGCAAAGCAACUGAAGCAUUGAGAGUUUUGGCCUGACUUUUCCAGUCCAGCUGCCUGCAGAUUUCAGCAUUGCUAAUGGCAAUGCAGCUAGUGGGAAUUUGUUGGGGAAAAAUAUAAUAAUUUUCUGGUAGAUUAUCCAAGCUCACUCAGAAAAUCAGUAGCAGAAGCAGGCAUGCUCAUCUUGUCCACUCUUUGGAGCUGAGCUUGUUCAACCAGGCUGAUUGCAAAUAAGUGAAGAAGAAGCCAAGGAACCAGCACAGAUAGUGCUCGCAAGGAGGCGGCUGGGCAAACAGCCUUGUUGAAAACUAUUUGUAGGGCAAACGGAGGUGGGAGAAAGGGCAGGGAAGUUGCACUUGUGUAUUCUCUGUUUUCUCCACCCCCGUUUCUGUGCAUCUCAGCUAGAAGGAGAGGAUGGAAGCCAGAGAAAUAUGCUUUGAAUUGACUGACGCUUUAUUUAAAAUAAAAUAAAAAAUCUGUUCUGUUUUGUUUUUCCUCCAGAUGAAUAUUAGAAGGUGGCAUAACUGACAAUCCAGCCCACUACAACUUCGCCUCCUGUUUGGAGCUAAAAUGGAAUGAAUUUAAGUCAUUUUCUUUUUGUGGGCAUAAAAGGGACUGUGGGCCUCUAAUCGCUGCCUGGGGGGUUGACUCAGCCACCCAUAAACUGCAAUAUCCACUCAUUUAUUCCUUUUCUUUCAGUUGACUCCUAAUUGCUUCAAACAAGCUCCGUGGCUGCUGGGGAAGGAGAAACUCUGCCUGCUCCUCAUUAGAAAGGACAGGAGUGAGGAGGGGAGAAACAGGAGCUUGGUGCCAUCCAUCCGCCUCCUUCCUCCCUUUCUUUCCUUUGCUCUGAGGAGUGAGGAGGCUACCCUUGCAUUUGGGGUUGUAGCUUCUGCCUAGAAAGCCAACGAGGUACACGAAACCAUAGAAUAGAAUCACAGAAUCAUUUGGGUUGGAAAAGACCUUCAAGAUCACCAUGUGUGCCUUUGAGACAAAGCCCAAGCAACCUUUUGGGGAUAACUUUUACAUUUCAAGCAUUCUGGAUAGUAAAAUCCACCAAAACUUAUUCAUUAUGUCUAAGGGCUGUGGAUAAGCCAUGGGUCCAGCACUCUGCAGUGUGUAAAUGACCAACAGAUCUAAAGGAACUAGCCCUAGGCUGGUGCACGUGAGUCUUUCUUUAUCACUGGCCAGCAAAAAUCUAAAUUUAUUGUGCCGUUUUUUCUUCAUCCUAGAUGUGACAAGUUGUGUCCUAUUGGUGUCUUCCUGAAUCCCUCCCUACAUCAGCCAACACAAGGAGAAACAUCUCGAGAUGUGCUCUGGGCUGCAAGCUGCUGCUGCUCUGGAUGCAAAUUUCCCAGAAAUCGUGUUCCUCCACUGGAUGUCUUCAACAAUCCUCCCUUCCCAGCCUUCACUUUGUUGAGGGCAGGUCACAGGGCCAGGGCAUAAAAUGUCCCCUUCACGCCCCUGCCUGGUGGCUGGGCUAAGCGGGGCCCCACCAAAGGCAGGAGCUGUGGCUGUGUGCAGGGGAGGCUCCGCAAAGCAACCCCCUCAUUUUCUCCAGCACUCACAGGGCUCCAGUGAGCGAAGCAGCUCGAGCAGAAAAUACUGCAUUGCACCAAAGGCACAGAGACAGGGAGAGAGAGAGAGAGAAAUCCCACAGUCUGACAGGCAAAGGCUGUGACUGUCCCACUCCUGACAGGCUGCUGCGCGGCGGCGGAAGGCAGGAAGCAUGCGCGAUGCUCAGAAAAGCACUGCUCCAACCCCGAGAGCAUUUUAUUGCAGUGCAUUUCGUGAUGAGCCACCCCGAAAGCUUCUGUCUCGGCUCAGGCACCUUUGGCUUCUGUAGACGGAGAAGGAAAUGUUUCCAGCUUGCUGCCUGGAAAUGAAAGCUGCGAUGUUGGCUCAGCAGAGGGAAGGGGUCAGCGGAGACAAUGACAGCCCAUUUUCUGCAAACAUUUCUCUGGCGAGCUAUCCCGUUGCUGUCCGGUUGGCUCUGCCGUGGCUGUGAGACCCUUUUGCUCUCUGCCCUCAGGACCCUGCAGUAAGCUGGGACAGCCUCACCUCCUUCCAUCCACUACUGCAAGAAGUCUCUUUAGAUACUAGCAGCUAACCCAAUGCAGGGGCACGGUGGUAGUGGCAAAGACCAGCUGCCUUCCCCUAGGCUCCUUAUUCCUCAGCAUCCUCAGGCUGGCUCUGGUUUUACAUUCACAUCAUCCUCAUUGAACCUGGGAUGAGCUUCUGGCACAGCAACAGCCAAAUGCCAGAGGAGGAGGAGGAGAGCAGGCUGCUGCCUGCCCUAACAGCCUUGGCCAUGAACCCCACCUCCAGGACUGACCCUAGGAAGCCUGCAAAGCCAUGAAUGCUUCCUAGGUGCAAGCCCAGGGCAGGGAAAACAAAAACCCAAACAAAUGAAAAAGCAUAAUGCUCUUGAUAAUGCUCUCAUAAUAUCUUAUGAUAUCUCUCUCUUAUAAUAUCAGUGUUCAAUCACUACUUAUUUCCUUUCCUUCUCACACCAGGCUUUUCUACGUGUGAAGUCUCGACAGCAUGUAGGCUUCUCUACCUUUCUCCAGGAAAGGCUGCCGUGAUCCCCCUCCUUCGCAGCUGGCAGAGUGAGGGAAGAAAGCCUAUUUCCAUUUUACAUGUGUGGAAAAACCGUGAAGACCCAUAGGUGGCCAUGGAAAUGAAGGUCCAAUGGAAAUUAAGCCAGUCAGGUCUUCUGACCAGAGUCCAGGGCUGCUGGCCAUUACCUCCCUGCUGUAGGACCUUAUGGUCUUACCAAAACCAGCCACUGCUGUCACUGGGAGACAAAUCAGGUCUCAUAUUCAGACUGGUGAUUCAAAUUGCAGGUGGUUAAAUCUGGGGUUACACUUUUUUUCUCCUAUUGAUUCUAUGGGUUACAGUGGCCUGGAUAACACUGAACAGCCCUGGAGUGGCAAUGAACCCUCAUUGUGGUACCAAAACAAGACACCCAGGGUAGGCUACCUCAUCUUGAACUCAUGCUUAAUUUCCUUGAUAAGUAAUAAGGUUUAUCUCAGAAGUAGUUUGAAUAUCCAGGCAGCCUCCAGCUAGGAAGUGCAGACAAGAAGGAAGGCUGGAACUGGAAACAAAUAAGCAAACAAACAAACAGGGGAAAAAAGGAAAAAACAAAAUCAUGAAUUUAAGCUGUGAGAGGCAAUAACAUCUCCUGCAGAGACAGUAAACACAGAGGAGCUGUUUCCAAUGAGCACCCGGUAACAGAUCCUUGAAUCAGUGAAGGCUCAGAGGAAGGGGAGGGGGAGGCAGGCGUGCAAACAGGUAUCUUAUUAACAGAGGAAAUAAAGUGAAUCUUUCUCUUCUUA